CCUGCAGCCCUGCGCCCGCAGUACACAGAGCAAGCGUGGGGGGUCACCCAGCCCACACCUCUCUUUUCACAGUGCAACGUGUUUGAAAUGAAGUCACACCUCCCCCAAGUUUGCAAAGCAGUGAAGCCCCCACAAAGGUCAGGGAUGGGCCACGACUCCCUUAGUUAUUUUCUCAGAGCUGCAUGGUCCAGGGUCCAGUGGGCACAGGGGCUCAUGCUAGACGAGCUGUGCAUGGGCAGAUGUGACCGCAUUUGACCCUCAGAAUGAUCCUGUGGGACCAGUGACAUUGUCACACCCAUCUCACAGACGGAGAGGCAGCCCGGACCCUUUCCCAAGACUGGCAAGCGUCAAAGCCAGGGUCUCGGCCACCUGGGCAUGCUUUUAGUACCAGUUCUAAGCAACGAAUUUGGCCAUUUGGGUCUCGUGACCCUCCUUGAGUGUUGUCCACAGAGGCGUACAGUCAACACAAUGGACUCUGGGGUCAGGAUGGGUUUUCUUUUUAACGGACUAGAUCCGAACAAUAAGGAGUAAGAGAUCAUAUUGUUUCAGAAAGAGGUGUUUUGUUUUGUUUGGGGUUUUUGUUGUGUUUUGUUCUUUUCGAGAAAGAUGAGUGGUACCCUUGGAGUAAUGUAUUGAUGCACUUACUCAGAGUCCUCAAUAUAAAACAUUUCUAACUAUGGGUGGCAUAAAAAAGAUGAGUUAGAAAUAGUACUUCUCAGGUUUCUAGAAACUGACCUAUGAAUCAUACAAACCCCAAAGUGGAAUGAACUAACAUAAUGCCUGCACCUAUGGAAAAGAGGCAGGAUGCAGUCUACAGGGAUGUGCCAGACAACAUGCUUCUUCCCGAAUCUAGAGGGAGAGUGGGUGGGGGUGGGGUGGAGGCGAAGGGUCCUCAAAGCAUUAUAGGGUGCUAUCCAACCCAAGAGAAGCAAGAGAAGCUGUAUGCUCCCCUUGAGCAGCUUUCAUGAACCUGAGCACCUUGAGGUCCCUGUCAUUCCCCUCCCUAGUUGUCCUACAUCAUAGAACACGUUCCAAUAUGGAGUUUCCCAACAGCAGCAUAGGCAGGCAGCACGGUGACUUCUUCCCUGAGGCUGGUGACCCAUCCUCUCUGCCUCCGUCUAUAAUCAUUGUUUCACCUGCCUGUUGGAGGAGCACCUCGGUCCUCUCCCCUUCCGAACCCACAAGCCUUCUGAGUUCACAGCCAUCCGAGCAUUUGACAACUCCCCUCAGAUUCUUCAGGACAACACUAGUUUGCUAUAGACUAGAUGUGGUUGGAGUCAGCCCAUGAUGGAGAAACCUAAGUGGACUGAAUUAAAAUUCUUGCCCGCUGAACAGGUUGAAAGUUACCUGGCUCUAUUGCAUCCCAACUUCCCAACAUCUCUCUCUGGCUUUUCAUCAAAAGGCAGUGUUCAUCCAGACAAGUGCACAGGUUCAGGUAGAUGUAUUGAUGAGUUUUCAGGAGAUGAAUCUUCCUAUAAUUAAGAAAUAGGAUACACGGGGCUGGAGAGAAGGCUCAGCAGUCGAGAAAGAAUGCUGCUUUCACAGCCGUUCCCAGCAUGCACAUCUAGUGUGUCACAAGUGCCGUAACCCAAAGUCUGGAAGAUUCAGACCAUCUUCUGGCUUCCAUGGGCACUGCACUCACAUGCACACACCCACCGACAGAAACACAGAUGCUUUAUUUUUAAUACAGUAUGUUUUAAAGAACUAGGAUACAGGCCUUGAGGUGCAUGCCAGUGGUAGAGCAUUUGUCUGGAAUGUGCAAGGCCUCAGAUUCCAUCCCCAGCACUACUAAUGUGUGUGUGUGUGGGGGGGGGGGAGAGAGAGAGAGAGAGAGAGAGAGAGAGAAAUCUCACUGGCCUUAUCACCAUCACCUCUGUUGCUAGCCAGUUUCUAACACCCAGUUCAGUUUUGCCUGCCUCUUGAAAUGCAAUUAUGCAAGGCUCAUUCUUUUAUGCCUGGCUUCUCUCUCCCAACCUUAUGUGUAAGAGUCACCCAUGGGGUUGGGUGUAGAUGCAGACUGCUUAUUACGUUGCUGUGUAGUAUUCCACUGCAGGCCUUUCACCACAUCUACUAAUCCACUCCAAAGCUGAUCCUGUCCCCAUGGUUUC